rnacentral:lncRNA from 1 species
UAACGUUAUAUGCAUACAUUAUCGUCAUGUUGUUUAAAUCCUUCCACCUUACUCUGACACUUUCCUUGGAGUUCACGAAGAGAACAGUCCAGGCUAUUAUAUUAAACACAGUAACAGUGUCACCUAGUGGUCAUAGUUCUUAUGUGUCAGUGUUUUUACUUGUCCAUCACUCUCCUCUGCCUCAGAUCCCAUUUUGGUCAUGUGUACGGUCCACUGGGCAGGUAGACUGUAGGAAAUACUGUCACAAUCAUUUCUCUGAUAUACUGUUCCACUGGACAAGAACGUGGAUCAUCAUUAUCAUCAAAGUGGGAUAUCGUUUUUUCAAUUGGAAGUUCCAAAAUAGCAGGAGUAGGUAUUUAAGUUUUUAUAAAAUCCUCCCUGUCCCCGUUAGUUGAGUAGAGAUCCAGUGAAGGUUAUUCUCUUUUAUAAAGAGAACCCACCCUGUGUGUUUGUCAAGGCUAGUAUGACCCCAAUCACAGAUCACUAGAUGCAUGUCAUACAUACAUAAGCACAGUGCACAUCAGGGUUGGGGUGAAUUCCAUUUAAAUGCUUUGACUGAAUUGAAAUGGAAUUGACCCUAACCCUGGUACACAUAGGACAUUAUGUGGAGUGAUAAUGAACCAUGAAUAAAUUCAAACUCUUUUGUCAUCUUCAUACAUGUGUUGUCAAGAAUAAUCUAACUAGUUUUCCCUCUGAAAGUUCAUCUUGUACAUAUUUCUCUUUUAUUUUCUAAUUCGCUCUAUUAUUAAAUGUAGAGGCACAUUUUGUUGGAAGCUUGUGGUAUGUUUUACCAGUUAUUUUUCAUAGUCAUUCAAUUAGUCAAACAUACACUAUAUAUACAAAGGUAUGUGGACACCCCUUCAAAUUAGUGGAUUUGGAUCAGCAGGUGUCCACAUACUUUUGGUCAUGUAGUGUAGUUUUGUGGUUUCUGGCAAAUAUAACAAAAUGAUUCUUCGUUAAAAACCCGUUGAUUAUUUUGAGAGAUAUUAACAGUAUGGCAUGACUGAAUGGUAAUGUAUUAAAUGAGUGUAUAUUUGUACAAAUUUUAAACAAUAAAAAAAUACAAUAUGGGAAGACGAUAAUGAAGAUAUGUCUAAUUCAG